rnacentral:rRNA from 1 species
UUUCCGGUUGACCUGCCGCCGGCCACCGCUAUCAAGUUCCGACUAAGCCAUGCGAGUCAAGGUAUCGUAAGAUGCCGGCAAACUGCUCAGUAACACGUGGAUAAUCUAACCUUGAGUAAGGGAUAACCUCGGGAAACUGAGGAUAAUACCUUAUAAUUGCUUAAAACUGGAAUGUUUAAGCAAUAAAAGUUCCGACGCUCAAGGAUGAGUCUGCGACCUAUCAGGUAGUAGGUGGUGUAAUGGACCACCUAGCCUCAGACGGGUACGGGCCCUGGGAGGGGUAGCCCGGAGAUGGACUCUGAGACAUCAGUCCAGGCCCUACGGGGCGCAGCAGGCGCGAACACUGUGCAAUGCGCGAAAGCGCGACACGGGGAGCUUGAGUGUCUUGGCAUAGCCAAGACUUUUCUCAUUCCUAAAAAGCAUGAGGAAUAAGUGCUGGGUAAGACGGGUGCCAGCCGCCGCGGUAACACCCGCAGCACAAGUGGUGGUCACUUUUAUUGAGCCUAAAGCGUUCGUAGCCGGUUUUGUAAAUCUUUAGAUAAAGCCUGAAGCUUAACUCCAGAAAGUCUGAAGAGACUGCAAGACUUGAGAUCGGGUGAGGUUAAACGUACUUUCAGGGUAGGGGUAAAAUCCUGUAAUCCCGGAAGGACGACCAGUGGCGAAAGCGUUUAACUAGAACGAAUCUGACGGUAAGGAACGAAGGCUAGGGUAGCAAACCGGAUUAGAUACCCGGGUAGUCCUAGCUGUAAACACUGCCCAUUUGAUGUUGCUUUUCCGUUGAGGGAAGGCAGUGUCGGAGCGAAGGUGUUAAAUGGGCCGCUUGGGAAGUAUGGUCGCAAGACUGAAACUUAAAGGAAUUGGCGGGGGAGCACCGCAACGGGAGGAAUGUGCGGUUUAAUUGGAUUCAACGCCGGA